UGGGGAAUAUUGCACAAUGGGGGAAACCCUGAUGCAGCGACGCCGCGUGAGUGAAGAAGUAUUUCGGUAUGUAAAGCUCUAUCAGCAGGGAAGAAGUUGACGGUACCUGAGUAAGAAGCCCCGGCUAACUACGUGCC
rnacentral:rRNA from 1 species